rnacentral:lncRNA from 1 species
UAGCCAACAGUAAGUGCUGAAAAGAAUCUAAAACAAAACUUAGAUCAACCUUUUUAUUUUAGAAAUGAAAACUAUAGAGAUGAACUAGAGAGACAAUGGAAUACUGUCCUUUGGCUGAGUCCUGCUGAAACCUGGUGGUGACACACAGAAGCAGGGUGAAUAUUCAAGAAAUACUGUUAAAUCACAAACUACUCAGAUGCAAACACAAGAGUGCAUGCUGGAACUGGCUUAUGAAACACAAGCCAGCUGGCUGCCCUAGAAAAAGUCUGAGGAAAAAGCCUUCUUCAUCUAAUUCAUAAAUGGGAAAUUGAAUUUCCAGGCUUAGCUGGCUUAUUUUUAUCUUCUUUUGUUUGUUUGAACUAUGUAUUGCUGAAUAACUGUGACAACAUUGAAAAGAGGGUUCAUGAGUAAAGCAAGAGUUGAUCUUUCACAAAUCAGUGCUAUAAUCAUUUCUAUGGGAGAGGCUACAGAUGAUUCCAUGCAGGGAGCACUCUGUAUGAAUGAUGUGGCCUCAGGCUAGAACACUUGAAAAGCAGCAAAGGAAAACUUUCUGCCCAACUUAUUAGAGGGGUGUGUGUGUGUGUGUGUGUGUGUAUCUCACAUGAAUAUAUUAUACAUAUGUAUAUAUAACAUAUAUAUAUAUACACACACACACCACUGGUGUUUAUUUUCACAUGCUUUUUUAUUUUUAUUUUAUUUUAUUUUUAAAAUAGAGACAGUGUCUUUCUCCGUCACCCAGGCUGGAAUGCAGUGAUGUAAUCAUGGCUCACUGAAGCCUCGAACUUGAACUCCUGGGCUCAAACGAUCCUCCUGCCUUAGCCUCUUGAGUAGCUAGGACUAUAGCCACAUCCUACUAGGUCCAACUAAUUUUAAUUAUUUUUUGUGUGUGGAGAUGGUGGGGGCGGGGUGUCUCUCUAUGUUUCCCAGGCUGGUCUUGAACUCCUGGCCUCCAGCAAUCCUUCUGCCUUGAGCUCCCAAAGUGCUGGGAUCAUAGGCAUGAGCCACCGUACCCAGCCUAGUUUCACACUUUUAUACACUCUCCCAAGUAUCACAGGGCUGGAAGCACUUUGAUUUUGGUGUAUUGGGUAUAAUUUAUGUUCUGUCAAUGAAAUGCAAUCAUGCAAUAUUCCAAAGGCAGAAUAGAGGCUCAGAGAACCCAUAUGUUAAAAAAAAUUAUUCCUUUGACAGAUAAAUAACACUUUUUCUAAUUUAUUGAUUUUGUAAAUUUGGAAUUGUGAAGAAUCUCCCCUCCCCCAAGAAAAACCUGUUUGUUCAGCAUUCCUUGCAAUGAUUGAAUCCUUUACCAGACAAACAAGAUGAAUGAAUUAUCUUUUCUUCUUUUCCUUUGGCUUACUUUUUCUGUGACAUUGUUUGAGAGACUGAGCACAGUAUUUUGAAACAGAUGACAGGGUUGUCACCUUUGAGUGGCACAAAUUUAGUAGCAACAGUAGGGCGUUUUAUGACAAUUUCUUUACAGUAUGAAAUCCAAAAGUUAUUCUCUGUGCCUUCAUGAGGAAAUGACAUUGAGUGGCAAUAUUUAAGAUGGUGAUUGGGAGGAAAGGCGAGUGUGAGAAGGGCAGCCUAAUUUUCAUGAAAUGAAACAGCCCUAGACUUGCAAAAUGAUAAUCGUAUUACUGAACAAUGUGAUGAUUCUCUCACAUGAAUUGUUCACUUCCAGGAGGCAUUCAAUCAGGCAAGCUAUCAAGAAGAUCUGGCCUUUGAUAAACACAUCCACUUUAAUAGCAGUUCCCGAGAUGAAAUGUUUGGAUUUAUGGCACCCAAUCACUGCAGCUUGAAAAUAUGAAAUAACUUGCUAGUGAACUGCCAUGAAAACCAUUACAUUAUGCUAGGGUCUUCCUUUUAGUAAGAUAUGGGAUGUUAUUAAUUGAUUAAUCUCCCUCCCUAUUCUUAAAAAUGAUUUAAGGAGGGUGGCCAUUUGCUACGAUGGAAAAGUACGGCUUCCUGGUCUGAUAUAAAAUGAGAAAUUGCCCAAGAUGAGCUCUAAGAUGUCUUCUACAUAACAUCUUCUAUGAUACAAUUUUUGGGAGUCUGUCCUUCAAAACUUCAUUACAAGGGGUCAUAUUAAGAUGAACUCUUAAUAAUAAGCCUCCUUAUGUGGGGCUCACAGAGACCUAGAUUCGUCCUAGAAUCCACUGGGAUUUGAACUGUCAUGAUUCUGAAGCUUACAUGGAUCCACAGAGUUGAUGUCAACUUAAUUCCUUGGAAAAUUAGGAGACAAAGAUUUGUUCUCUGUUCUUAUUCCUAACUUGGUGAGUUCCACUAAUGGUUGCUACCUUUCAGAGGCACAGACUUUGUAAUAACAGGGGAUGGCGCAUUACAAUUUCUAUGUUACACAAAUUCUAAAAUUAAGUUUAGUGAUUGGGAGGGAAGGUGAUUGAGAAAAGUAUACUUUUCAACUAAUGAAACAACAUUUAACUUCUGAGAAGGUACUUGUUGUAUUACUUAGCAAUGUGGAGUUUCAUCCCAGGCUGAAUAGAUUUCAAGGCAAACGGUGUCAGUUAUAAUAAUGCUGAGAAUUUUUUCUGGCCAAUGUUAUAUAAGAAAAGGUUUUAUUAAAGAAAGUUUAAGCAGCAUGAUUCAUAACAGCCAAAAAGCGGAAGCAACCCAAGUGUCCACAGCCAGAUCAAUGAAUAAACAAAAUGUGUUAUAUCCA